GAGGCGGACCCUUCGCAGCAGCAGAGAGCAAACACGCCAACGGGAGCUCCCCGCCGCCUCUCCGCCGGCUGCGGUCCGCCCUCGAGGCUCUUCGGAGGGGGGCGAGGGCUAACGGCUUUCCUGAGGAGCCUCGCCGCUGACAUCUGACGGUUGAGGCGUGCCGCGCGCCCCGCCGUCUAGCAGAGCCCUCCGAACUGGCGGCAUUAAAGCAAUUUCAACACUUGUUGCUGAGAGCAUUAAAGCGCAUUUGGCAACCCCUGUGCAGCACGUCAUGUUACGGGACAGACGCUUAAGAUUGACUUGUGUCAACUUGAAAUUGCCUUCCCUCAGGCGCUGGGAACUGGUAACAUAAUAGUUUUCAGAAAAAUAUAUAGAGAUCUCAGAAAUCUGAACACCAACGACAUUUUGUGAUAUACCUUGACAAUGGAAUUGGAAGAAGAGCUUCUCGACUGUAUCGGAACUCAAUUUACAACGGUUGCAUAAAUCUCAUAGUCUCUAGACUGCCAAGUCACAAUACCAGCAGAGGCAAGAACGAAUUAUAACCAUCUAGACCUUAAAAGCACAGGUGUUUCCUCUGCCCUACCAUAUGGGUCUUGCUAAUCCACUCCCGUGACACAGAAAGAUUUUUCCGCUGGCCUGAAACGCGCUGUGGAAAACAGGAUUCAACACUGAACGGCUCGAGCAGAAAAGCACAUGCAGCGUGUUCUCAUAUGACCUGCCACAGCUUGUGGAAAUCACUAUGUGUACCAGAGCAUAAAGUCUGAGUGAAAUGUUUAAUGUCAGCAUUGUUGCUGCUCAGCUUUAGUAUACUUCAGAAAUGGGUAAGUAAUGCCUCUGACCUGAGGCACCCU